rnacentral:lncRNA from 1 species
CUGAGUUGUUAACUAUCAAUAAUAACAAGAUACCCCAUAUAUUCCGACAUAUAUAUAAUUGUUCAUUAGAAAUGUUAUAUAAUGCUCAUAAGGUAUAGGGUCGACGACCCCCUCUUCCAAAAUAUAUUGCAAGUUUCCUCACAAAAAAAUUAAGUACAUUUCUUUUUAGAAAGAAUACUAUUUUUCUUUAGAUAGGCUAUUCUUUUGAUUGUAAGAUUCUUUGUGAGUGAGGUUUAUCGAAGGGUUGAAACAAUUUGUUGGCAAGAUGGAACUAUUUUUCACUCAACCCUUACGCAUUUGAGGAAGAGACUGGAAUCGAAGAAGAUCAGAUUCAUCACAUACGAGUAGUUCUUAACAGAGCGAAAGCGGUCCUAUAGUUCGUAUAUUUAAACGUCACUAUAUUACGGAUUUGCUGCAUUCAAAAAGUUAAAGAAAAAGACAAAAAUCUAGUAGUUGGUUACUUAGGAAAAAAAUUCUGUUGAAAGAGGUUGUUGUAUGCAUCUCUUCGCCUUUCUUGCACUCCCAUGUAGGGUAAUACAGUAAGAAAAAUUUAUGUUUUUACAAUUAUGUGAGUACUAUGGUGUUAAUAUAGUUAAAUCUAUCAAUUAUAAAGGUAAUAACUUGAAGGAAAAUAUAAAUGAAGUAUUAACUAUCCGAAAUUAAAGUUUAAUAUUUAUACAUGCCCUAAUAAUUUUAGAUUUCAGAUCGAAUCGGAUCGUAUUAAAAUUAUACCAAUAGGAAUACGAUCCGAAAGACGACAUUUUAAUAAACGCAAUCUGAAAUCCAAAAUUGAAUGGAUCAGUUCGAAUUUCGGAUAUCCGAUCCAAACGAACAACCCUACUCCCAUGCGCCUAAAAACGAUUGUAGUUAUAUACCCUACGGUGUUAGCUGCUAGGGGAGCUAAAAUGUAGAGUUGCACAAACCGAACCGAAAAUUCGCACCAAAUCGAAAAGUCAAACCAAAUCGAUUAAAAAUCCGACUAGGUUUGGUAUUCAGUUAAAAACCAGAACCAAACCGACAUAUAAAUAUAUAAUUUUUAUAUACUUUUAAGACUCUAUGUAGAAGUUUC